rnacentral:rRNA from 1 species
CCCCUAGAUGUUCUGGGCCGCACGCGCGCUACACUGAACAGUUCAACAAGUCUUAACCUUGGCCGAUAGGUCUGGGUAAUCUUUGAACGCUGUUCGUGAUUGGGAUAGACCUUUGCAAUUACGGGUCUUCAACGAGGAAUUCCUAGUAAACGCAAGUCAUCAGCUUGCAUUGAUUACGUCCCUGCCCUUUGUACACACCGCCCGUCGCACCUACCGAUUGAAUGGUCCGGUGAAAUCUCGGGACGGCGGCUUGGUCGCUUGCGUCCGACUGCUGAAACUUGAUUAAACCAUAUCAUUUAGAGGAAGGUGAAGUCGUANCA